GGCAGGGUAGGCUGUAGCAGGCUGGGAGGGUGGCAGGUCAGGGUAGGCUGGAGCAGGCUGGGAGGUUGGCAGGUCAGGGUAGGCUGGAGCAGGCUGGGAGGUUGGCAGGUCAGGGUAGGCUGUAGCAGGCUGGGAGGUUGGCGGGUCAGAGUAGGAUGUGACAGGCUGGGAGGUUGGCAGGUCAGGGUAGGCUGUAGCAGGCUGGGAGGUUGGCAGGUCAGUGUGGAUGCUAAGAGGCUGAGAGAGCUUGUGAGGCAGAUAUGAAGGCUACCCUGGGCUCAGGGGUAUCUGGGCUUCUACCCGGCUGAUGGUGCUGUUGGUGCUGCUCUGUUGGUG
ensembl:lncRNA